GGCCCUGUAGUUCAACGGAUAGAACGGAAGUUUCCUAAACUUUAAAUACAGGUUCGAUUCCUGUCGGGGCUACCA
rnacentral:tRNA from 2 species